GAAAACUCGGGCAGAGGAAACAGCGGCAGGCGCCCCGCCUGAAAAACCCGGACAAAAGGCGCGGGCCUCCCGCCCCCGCUGCCCGGCCGCUGGGGGCCUGGCACGGCUGCCCAGGUCUUUUCAAGGGCUCCUGUAUUCCUUCUCCCAGAUUAUGAAGGAAAGAAAGCAGAGGCCACAGGCAGAUAGGAAUUUGAUUUGGACAAGACAGGCAACGAAAGUGGAAGACUGACUCUACCUACUGGAAUCACUCGACCCCUCUGGGGCAAGGAGACCACCAAAAACCUGCUUGCUUCACCACCGUCACCAACCCCAAGUCCCCGCAAGAUCAGGGACUCAGGUCCUGGAGGGGGUUGAGGGGCUCAGCCACUAACUGGGCCAUCCCUGCUCCUGUGAGUCUGAGGAAGGAGACGCUGACUUGUUUUUAAAUCUGAUGUUUUAUUUCAUUUCUUUUACAUCCCCUGGAAGUCCAUGCAGAGGGAUGCUUUUACGAUGAUGGAAGGGCACUUAAUGACCCCUCUUCCUGUCCUCCUCUCUCCAUCAAGGUCACAUGCAGCUGGAAGUAUCCCCCACUGCUGAAAAGUGCUUCCCGCUAUCUAACUGUAAUCCGUCAUGCUGCCUGUAUUCUCUUGCUUCGUUUUCAACAACGUUCCCGUUUCUACCUC